AAAAAGAAAGGCUUUCUGCAUCUACCAAAAUCUAGCAGAAGAGGUGUUCAACACGUAGCUGAUAACCUCCAGGAAUCAGUGAAGAAACCAGCAGCACCAAACGCUACGAGAGCCGGAGGACCAGAGGCUCGGCGAGACCAGGGAGGCUGCUCUGCCAGGUUGCUAUGGAAGCCAUCAAAGUUCCUUCAGCCCAGACCCAUGCACAGCCUUGGCCCAGGCUCUUGGCCACAUGCAAGGUGAGCUGGGCUCAACACCCCCUGCUCCUUGAUGGGCCUCAGAGAUGUCGCAGUGGAGUCCCCACUCUGCUGCCCAUUCCGGGGGUCAGUUAUGGGCCUGGCAUUUUUACCUGGAUUGUAACAACCCAAACGUAGAGACAAAAGCAAAAAGCCUCCCAAACUAAAUGUGUGGCCCAUGCCUGCGGAUGGGCACCCCAGAGACACUCUUAUCUCCAUCUUCUUGCAAAACCAUCUCCUAGAGAGGCAUCCUCACUUUCUUGGAGCCAGUUAAUGUAACAGGUAUGGCUCCUUUCACUCUCUGCAGCUCGGACUAAUGCAUUCCUGAGGGCCCACAGCAAGUCGGAAACCAAGCUCAGCACUAGGGAGAUGAGGAUGACCCAACAGCCUCUGCACCCCAGGGCUCGCGAUCUACUGGAAAGUGAUAGUAUUGUGAAAACUGCAUAAAAUAUGAACCAGGGAGUGAAAUAUUAGCAGAGGAGGUGAUAGCGCUCCAAGAAGAGAGAGCAGUGUAGGCAAGUUAGGAAACACAACUUCAACAUCGGACCUGUGUCUUGAAGAAUGAUUAAGCGUCUGUGGGUGCAGCACCCUGAAAGGACAACACGC
rnacentral:lncRNA from 1 species